rnacentral:tRNA from 1 species
ACUCAGUUGGUAAAGUACAAAGCUCUUAACCUUGUGGACGUGGGUUCGAGCCCCAU